GAUGAACGCUAGCGGCAGGCCUAAUACAUGCAAGUCGAGCGGUAACAGGUGUAGCAAUACAUGCUGACGAGCGGCGCACGGGUGCGUAACACGUAUGCAACCUACCUUUAACUGGAGGAUAGCCGCCCGAAAGGGUGAUUAAUACUCCAUAACAUUAUGAAAUAGCAUUAUUUUAUAAUUAAAGCUCCGGCGGUUAAAGAUGGGCAUGCGUCCGAUUAGCUAGUUGGCGAGGUAAAAGCUCACCAAGGCUACGAUCGGUAGGGGUUCUGAGAGGAUAUACCCCCACACUGGUACUGAGACACGGACCAGACUCCUACGGGAGGCAGCAGUAAGGAAUAUUGGACAAUGGAGGCAACUCUGAUCCAGCCAUGCCGCGUGAAGGAUGAAGGUGCUAUGCAUUGUAAAACUUCUUUUGAACGGGAGAAAAAACCUUUUGGGUACCGUGUACCGAAGCUGAUAGUACCGUUAGAAUAAGGGUC
rnacentral:rRNA from 1 species